UCAGACGAUGCGUCAUGCAUAUCAAUAAGCGGAGGAAAAGAAACUAACAAGGAUUCCCUUAGUAACGGCGAGUGAAGCGGGAAGAGCUCAAAUUUGAAAUCUUCAAGGUUUUACCUUGACGAAUUGUAGUUUAAAGAAGUGUUUUCUGUUGAAGUUUUGGUAAAAGUUCUUUGGAAUAGGACAUCAUAGAGGGUGAGAAUCCCGUAUUUGACCGAUUAUUUUCUAGCUUUGUGAUACACUUUCAAAGAGUCGGAUUGUUUGGGAAUGCAGUCCAAAAUGGGUGGUAAAUUUCAUCUAAAGCUAAAUAUUGGCGAGAGACCGAUAGCGAACAAGUACCGUGAGGGAAAGAUGAAAAGAACUUUGAAAAGAGAGUUAAACAGUACGUGAAAUUGUCAAAAGGGAAGCGUUUGACACCAGUGUUGUUUUCUCGAAAAUCAAUUAAAAAGAGUUAGAUUUUGUUGUGUAUUGACCUUAACAGCUUGCAUUUCAAUUUUCUUGCUUUUUUUAAUGCACUUUUCGUUUAACAAGUCAACAUCAGUUUCUUUUGUUGUAAAAAGGUCAUUGGAAGGUGGCUUUCUUUUCGGAGAAAGUGUUUAUAGCCUUUGACUCCUGCAAUCGGAGAGACUGAGGUCUGCAGCGUAGAUCCUUCGGGGUUAGAUACAUUUGUGCUAAGUUAUAGCUUUUUAUAGACAACUUGUUGACUAUGAUUAGUCUUGUAGCUUACUCGCUUAUGCUAUUUUACCUACGCUUAGGAUGUUGAGUCGUAGAGCACGCAG
rnacentral:rRNA from 1 species